UGAAGCGUCAUUGGCUUGGUU
rnacentral:miRNA from 1 species